GGGUAUCCUCAUUUAUGGAGAAUUCAAGGAAGAUUCAGUUCUUUUGUUCAUUUUAGCAGCUGGUUCUGGGGCACUGUGUAAAGAGGGCCAUGGAGCAGAAAUCCACCAAGAUACUGCAGGAACAUCAGCAUCAAAAACCUUCAGCUACUGGAAGUGAAAGGUCAGAAGAUGGACCAAAAGUUCCUUAUUACUCUAGAAAGCAGACUUCAUGGUUUUGUUUUGAAGUACUGAAAAUGAAAGGGUUUGGUGCAGUUUUCUUCCUUGAAAAACAAAAGGCGGAGGGAGGUGAGAGGGGGUGCAGAUAAUUGCAGUUACUAAAUCAAUCCCAAACAGUAUCUGUGGAUGUACAGAUGAGUGGACCAGGAGUAAACACAACCUGUGGUAUAUAUGUUGGAUUGUUUUCAAAGAAAACCACAACUGUGGGAUCACUAAGAAGGUUUCAAAACUGUGCACUGAUCUUACAAAACUUUUAACUGCAUUAAAACAUGAUUGAAAGAAAAAAACAAGUAGAUCUGAGAUUGGAAAUAAACAAAAGCAAGCUUUGAUUUAUUUUUGAAUUCAAAAAGCUUUUCAUUAUGACACUUUUAUAACAGGAGAAGGUUUAAAACCAAAAUGUUUCACUCCCUGACAAAUGUAAUGUUUCAUUU